GGAAGUGGCGGAAUUGGUAGACGCACCAGAUUUAGGUUCUGGCGCCGCAAGGUGUGAGAGUUCAAGUCUCUCCUUCC
rnacentral:tRNA from 1 species